ACCAGACUCCUACGGGAGGCAGCAGUGGGGGAUAUUGCACAAUGGGGGGAACCCUGAUGCAGCGACGCCGCGUGGGUGAAGGAGUGCUUCGGCAUGUAAAGCCCUAUCAGCAGGGAAGAAGAAAUGACGGUACCUGACUAAGAAGCCCCGGCUAACUACGUGCCAGCAGCCGCGGUAAUACGUAGGGGGCAAGCGUUAUCCGGAUUUACUGGGUGUAAAGGGAGCGUAGACGGCAGUGCAAGUCCGGAGUGAAAGCCCGGGGCUCAACCCUGGGACUGCUCUGGAAACUGUAAAGCUGGAGUGCGGGAGGGGCAGGCGGAAUUCCUGGUGUAGCGGUGAAAUGCGUAGAUAUCAGGAGGAACACCGGCGGCGAAGGCGGCCUGCUGGACCGUAACUGACGUUGAGGCUCGAAAGCGUGGGGAGCAAACAGGAUUAGAUACCCGCGUAC
rnacentral:rRNA from 1 species